rnacentral:rRNA from 1 species
ACGAUGAAGAACGCAGCGAAAUGCGAUACCUAGUGUGAAUUGCAGAAUUCCGUGAAUCAUCGAGUUUUUGAACGCAAGUUGCGCCCGAGGCUCGUCUGAGGGCAUGCCUGCCUGAGCGUCCGC